AUGGCAAAACCGGACGACUACCAAACCAAGCAGCUGUUUGCCUACGGCGUGGUUGAGGUCGAAUUCAGAAGGGUUCCGUGCCGAUACCCCGGCCAAAACCUCCUUGUCAGCGUCAAUGAACACAGCAGAAACCCUUCUUACUUAGCUAUCAUCCUUUUAUACGUCGGCGGCACAAAUGACGUCACAGCUGCGGAGUAUUGGCAGGUAUUCAGUCAUCCAUUAUCCCAUGAGUUUGCUACAAUUUGGUUUCAAGUAGAAUCAAAUUAAACCAUAAAUCGACAUAAACACGAACAAGAGACCACUACUCAACAAGACAAUGACCUUGCUUUCUCGUAAUUUCGAUUCAGGAUGACUAUCAAGGGUGGAACCGGAUGCGCCGAGUGUACGGAGCAGUGUUCGACACGCAAACUCCGCCAAGAGGCGAUUUGUACCUGAGGUUCCGAGUGGGUGGGUCUUGGGUGCAGCCAAAGCGCGCCCUCCCUGCUGACUGGAAAGCUGGUGCUGUUUAUGACUCCCAAGUGCAGCUGAACUAGAAAAGCCAAAAACCAGUCCCUUUCUUUCUGUUGAUUGGGAAAGUGCUUGCUUGCCUUUUUCAUUACAGCUAGGUAGGAAUACCUCAGAUAUGGCCAAAGACAUGGCGGCAUUAGUGUUGCUGAUAGAAACAGGCUUAGCUAAUAAGCUAGGUAAGGGCAGGCUUUCUGCCUGCCUUGGCUAAAUAAAGGUAGUCUCUGUACCAUUUUAUCAAUGGGAUGUGGGAUUGUAGUCUUCUCUUUCUGUUGGUGUGACUGGCUAUAAUAAAUGAGAUUGGUGUUCCCUUAGGCGGAUAAAGUUGCACUUUUGCCUGCUAUAAAAGGUCCAUCCAGCACUCAGGCUGUCCAGAAGGAGUCCACUAUACUUUUCAGGUUAAUUAUAUGACAGCAUUCCUCACCAGAACAAUUGUCUUUAUCCAAUUACCAGCUAUAGGUACACUCAAAUUAGGAUGAAUUCAAGAAAAUUACGGCCCGCAAAGGAAGCUUACCAACCAAAUAAGCAAACUAUACUACUUUCAAAUUAGGUAAAUAACUACACUUUAGAAAAAUUAUUUGCCUCAAAGGACAUGUUACCAAUUGUCAUUUUCCAGAACCUGCGAGCAAAUCACUAUUGCAAUUGUUGAUAAUAAUUACGACAAUUUUCGAUUAAUUACUAGGUUUUAGCAUUUUUUAGGUUACCAAAAUUUAUGGCCAAAUAUGUCAAAGAUUUCUUGAAAUUAUAGAAAAUUCAGGUAUAUUAUGACCAGUCAAGGUAAAUUAAUUACCCAUGUAGCAAAACAUACUUUGAAGGUAAAUUACUUCAUAUAAAGGGAAUUACUAUUUUGAGCAAAAAGAAUUCUGCAAGUAGGGCUACUAGUUGCUAUUUAGAAGAACUCACAGCAAAAUCAUUACGUUUGAGGAUAGUUCCAAUAAUAUGAAGUUAAAUUACGGGUUGGCAUUCUCAUAUCACCAAAUCUUUGGACAGAUUAUUGUCCAUAACAAUAAAUUAUUGAUUACAGAUGCAACUAAUAUUACAACGUACUAAUAAAGAAAAUUUUAUAAUGCAAAAGUAUUACUUUUAACAGUUGAAAUGCAUCGAAAGAAUAAUUGAGUAAUUGAACUAUACUGAAAAAGCUAAAAUUAAAAUCAACAUACUAAUUAUUAUGACAUGUGGAUGCAUGUUUUGAUAAGCGGGGCGUAUUUAAUAACGAAAUCAAAUAAUUUAUCAUGGCACUUUUCAUUAUAAAAAACUCGAGUUGUUAGGUUAGGUCGGUCGGGUCGGGUCAAAGUCCUACUUUGCACAAUUUCCCGCGUAGAAGCUCCGGUGCUUCGCUUCAUUCUCUUCGCUCCGACUCUCUCUCUCUCUCUCUCUCUCUCUCUCUGCGUUCGUAUUUUCUGUGGAGUCAUCAAUGGAGUUCGAUGCAGUUGCAGCAGAACCCUAGCCCUCCCGCGACGUCGACGGCGGCAUCUUUCAUGCGCUUCUCCUCGGAUCAUAUUCAUUCCAUCUCGGUCCCUCUCUCUCUCUCUCUCUCUCUCUCUCUCCAUCGAGUAAUUCCCCUCCUCUUUUUGCUUCGAUCGUCGAUGCUGAGGAACUCUCGAAUCUUUCCUCUUCUCAUCCCCUCUCUCUCUCUUCCGGAUUUGCAGAGCUCGUGGACUGGCGAUCCUCCUCUCGCGGACCUCGUCUUCUCUCGGCCGACUCAGCGCUCGAAGCUCAUUUCGAAGACGCGGCCGCUAGGGCUCAAGUACGUGGCGCGUUCCCCUUUGUCGUAUUCCCUGAUUGUGGAUGGAUUAUCUUCGUCGCACUAACUGGUGUGGUAUUCUCAAUCACGAGUGGAAAACGUAAUCGAGUCGAAGCGGUUGAAACGUGGUGUGGAUAUUUUCUGAUGUUCGCGAGGAAGUCGUAAUGGUAAAUUCCUUGCGUUUUGUCUAAGCACCAUCAUUACAUAUUAGACCGGUUACUUUUCCUUGCAUAUAGAGGUGGCAAAUGAGUGGAUCGUGUUAGGUAUGGGUCGAGUCGAAAAUGGUUCGAUUCAUAGUUGAUUCAUUUAAUCCGUUUUGACUCAUAUUCUUAUAGUGUAAAUCUAAUGGUCCAUACUUAACCUGAUCCAUAUCUGACCCAACUCAUAUUGCUAAAACCCACUAAUAUCUAGAAAAACCCACGCUCACUUUAAUUGGACAAGAACCUCAAAUUAAAUUUAAAAAAAUAGUAAACAAAAUAAUAAUUGUUAAAAAAACCUAUAAAUUGAAAUAUUUAUGAAGAAUUAGACUAUGGACAUGCUUCUCUUAUUUAAAGUGAGCAUACUAUUAAGCAAUUGAAAACUGCAACUUGAAAUUGAAACUGAGUAUUAGCUAUUUGAACACUAUCUAAUGAAACAUCUGCGAAUGCAAGAAUGAAAAUAGUCUUUGCAAACGGUCUUUCACAAGUCGGAUUUACGCGAGAUUCAUCAAAUCUGGAAUUGAAAGUAAAUGCUUCUCUCAAUAAGAAUCUCAUUUGCUCGUUCAAAGAAAAUAAUUUUAUAGCUACAUUUGUAAUUCAAACAAAACUGUCCACUCUCUUGGAAAUCCUGGAAAGACAGACAAAAAAGAUGCAGUGAAACUUCUCCACGUACAGUUAUCACCCUUCCCUCCUUCCAAACUAAGUCGACUUUAGGUCAACCAAGUGCAGAACAUGACCAAAUCCAAAUAUGAUGAUAUCUGGAGGUAGAUAUAAGCCAAGAACUCAUUCAGCUGGAACAAGGUUGUGAUUGUGCCCCAUUUAAGCCGCAAAACCCAACCCAAAUCAAACAACCUCUACUGCUAAAAACCCCUCAGUUCGGACGCGGAAGCUGAGGAAACGUCAUUUCUCCUAUGCAAAUUCUUCAUCAUCUUUCACCGCCAGAAAAUAGACUAAGAACAAAGAUAAGAAAAAGAAUCACACGCAUUGAUAGCAGCAGCAGAAAUUGAGGAAACUAAACGAAGCACGCUCCACGCAACAGAUAUAAAAAGGACAAGGUGACGGGCCAAGAGAAAGACGGGGAACUCACGGAAGGGUUGGAGGGAUCGAAGAGCCUGAAAUGGCUCAAGUUGUGCUAUUGAGGCAAAAAUCGACACCCGCAAGCUAGACUUUCAUGGCGUGAGGCUGAAGCUCGUCGACCUUCGAGGGAGCGGUGGAGGUGAGCCUCAGAGGCCGGCGGCGGAGGCGACUCGGAGGUGAGCCGCUGCAGCGAGCGGCGGAGGCGACUCGGAGGCGAGCCGCGGAGGCGAGUGGUGGAGGCGAGCCUUAGAGGAGGGUGGCGGAGGCGACUCGGAGGGGAGCAAUAGCGGUGAGUGGCGGAGGCGACUCGGAGGCGAGCGGCGGAGGUGGGUUAUGAAUUCGAGGGAGCGGCGGAGGCAAGCCUUAGAGGCGGGCGGCGAAGGCGACUCAAAGGCAAGCCACGGCGGAGAGUGGCGGAGGUGGCUCGGAGGCGAGCGGCGGAGGUGGGUGACGAAGGGCAGCUGUCGCUGAGGAAAUUCUAUGUUUUUAAGGUUUUGAAAAUGGGUCAGAACAACCCAUUUUUGACUCAUAUAGAAUUGAACUUAAAACACUUUGACCCAUUUUAGCUGGGCCAUUACAUCUUCCUAACUCAUAUACGACCCAUUAAUGAAAAAUAUGAGUUCAGAAAUGGGUCAUUUUGCCACCUCUACCUGCAUAGAGGCUUAACGGAGCUUUAAUUGCAGUUCUUUCAUGACACUGCCAUCACUGCAACAAUAACUAGUUCAAAGCUCUUCAGUUUUUUUCGCUUGGAGGCGAUCUACUAAAUGUGUUCUUGUAUCUUAUCUAAGGGCUUAAUGUCAUAGUUAUGGGAACUUUCCUCUGGAACAUGCAAAGCAUAGUGUAGUCUGUCGCUCUUAGGAAACAGGUUGUUAAUACUAUGACGUAAUAAGCUUCAAUUUUUUACAGUACAUUUGGAUAUGCUAUUUAUGAGUUGAUCAACUUUUAGCUGCAUUUAUAAGGCUUUUGCUGGUGAGGAGGUUUUCUUGCUGACAACUAAACUUUUUUGCAAACAGCAUGAGGAAACAUGACAGCGCUACCAAACAAGAGGCCAGGGAUUAGCAGAUGAUGGGGUUGUUAAGGUGAAUUUUCUCCUUGUUAUCGCUUUCUUAUAUUAUUUCAAAAGCUAUACUUGGAAUUGAACAUUGGACUAGCCAUACCACGAAGAACUAACAAAUAAUCGAAACUUGAUCCUGCUCAUUUAUCAGAAGAUGUUAAUGACCCUUUGUAAUGGAGCAAUGUGGGAAUAUAUUGAGUUAUGUUUAUUGUAAAAAAAAAAAAAAAAAAAGGAAAUUUCCCAUGACAUCGAAUUAGAAGUUUAAAAGGCUUGUUUGCGGAGUCCUCACAUUGAAAUGCUGAAAUAGCCAUUUUAAUCUUCUCCCAGCUAGUUUACUGACGGAUGUUAGUAUGCUUAUGUCACCGUGUUUUCAUUUUAUUGUAAAAGCGGGGCAAUCGAUUCUUUUUUCUGUAAUUUCUAAAUCAUGGUGCACUGCAAGAAAUCACUACUAAAAUGAACUUUCAUUCUUUUUUAGGCUGGUCUUGUAACUACUCUUAGCAUAAAAACAAUCAUAUUUGGUGAAACAAAUCCGAGGCCUUACUUUUUUUUACUUUUUUUUUUGGUUAGAUGAAGCCUUGUAACUACUCUUAGCAUAAAAACAAUCAUAUUUGGUGAAACAAAUCCGAGGCCUUACUUUUUUUUCCUUUUUUUUUUGGUUAGAUGAAGCCUUACUUGAAUUGUGUUUCCCUAUAUUCCGUUUCUCUGCAUCACGGUCUUAGACUGCAAGUUGCGGUCACAAGAUGAAAAAUGCAAAAUUCUGUUUCACAUAAGAUUGCACAAGCUAAUCACACAAUCUCUCUACAUCAGAGAAAGAAUUAGAUCUGACUUUACCAAUAAACGGCACUUUUAAAGGUUUGCCAACUGAGACAGUAAUUCCAUUGCUGGAAUUGCUAUUGCUGUUGUAAUGAUUAGUUUAGCUCUAUCUGUCAGUACGACACUCGCCAGUGCCUUAUUACAGAUUUGACGUAGUUCUAGUGCUUUGAUACAAAUUAUCCCGAGUGGAAUAUAGUUGUUUCUUGUCGCAUUCUUGGUGAGAUGAGUCAUCAAAUUAACUAAUUUAUUCUUUUUUUCAGUGUAAUUGAACUGACGGAAAAUUUUUGUGUAGCUAAUAAAUAGGGAGAGUCAACUAAAGUUGGUUGUGAUGAAAAUCUAGCAAAUAUUUAGCCAUAUGAAACGUCGAGGUAGUAAAUUAUUUUGGAUUGGACGUAGAUCUAUACAUGGGCUUGUUUGGUUCAAUUUUGGGGAAAUGACUUUGCAUUUCCCCAAGUAUCCUUGGGUGGAUGGGCAUUCUCUGAAAGCAAACCUGUUUGGAAUUGUAUAUUUUGCAAAGUAAUUUUCAGGUGAAAAUAAAAAGGAAAAAAAGAAAAGAAAAGAAAAUGGAGGAGAUGCAGUUGCGUGAUCGUGGGGGAGUGGGUGGUGGUGGCGGCAUUGGUGGUGGUGGUGGCGUCGACACCACCUGAGGUUGCGCGGCCUCAGGCGGCGUCACCUGGGUCGCUCGACCUCAGGCAGCAGCGCUUGGGUCGCGCGACUCAGGCGACGCCCUAGGUCGCCCGACCUCAGGCCACCUCGGCUGAGCCCGGUGGCCAGAUCUGGCCCUCUGGCGGCCAAGCGUCGCCCACCGUGAAGAAGAAGACGAACGGCGAAGAAGAUGGGCGGUGAAGAAGACGAUGAAUAGUGACUCGGAAUCGCAUCUCCAGAAUAGGAAUGCUCAAAGCAGCCCCACCCCAGCAUUAGGCUUUUAGCAUUGGGGAUGCUGGCAUUGGGCAAAUGGGCAUUCAAAAACACAUGCCAAACACAAAAAUAAUCUCAAAAUUAUGGCUAACAAUAAGAAGGUUUGUUUCAAUACAACUCCAGAACCUAGUCAACAAUCUUGUUCAGGAAGUUUAAGUAGCCUAGUGUAAUUUCUGGGUCACUGAGAAAUAGUUGAGCUAACUCAGGACAGUGGCUUCAGAUCGAAAAAAAAAAAAAGGACAGUGGCGGAGGUCAAUAUCUGUGUUCUGAUGGGUUUCUUUAGCAUUCUUCUCUUACCAUUCCAAAAUGGGUAGCAUGGCGCAUUUAAUUUUCUCAUUAAAUGGUUCAUGGUUAGUUCAAAGUAGAAGAACAUUAGCAACAUCCUUUCUGGAAUAAUUGGUUGAAGCAUGAUAUUUGCCUAUUUGUGCUGUAGAAAGGCUAACAUUGAUGACAAAGCUUGAAAUCGGACGCAUUUUUAUAUGAGCUUCGUAGGCAUCUAUUUCAUACUGAGGCAAGUAUCCCAGUCUUUCAAGUUGCUCUAGGGGAACUGCCUGAGUUCUGGCUUCUGGGUCUAUUUUGAUUAUUGGUAAACCAUGACUCAUAUUGUCAUAGAUAUAACUUACAUCCAAGGUCCUGGAGAGGCUUCUGAAAUUCAAAAUGCCCUGUUCCACUUCUUAACUUAGACAUUCUGGUCACCAUACUCCAGGAUUGAGGCACCAGAAGUUACUGGGGCAAAUAGCCAGUCUUUCAAGUUGCUCUAGGUGAGCUGACUGAGUUCUGGCAUCUAGGUCUAUCUAGAUCAUCAGUAAACCAUGAUUUGUAUUGUCAUAGAUAUAAUUUACGUCUGAGGUCCUGGAGAGGCUUCUGAAAUUCGAGAUGAUUCUACUUUAUACUUCAGCCAUCUAUUAUGUGCGUUGUGAAAUCAGCUAGAAUGUGACUAUUGAUCUUUCUAUUCUCCAAUAAUUCUAUUAACGCAUGUGGUUUUUACAUGCAAUUCAUUCUCAUCGACACAACUUUUCCUUGGAAAAAUAUUGAUGCAUUGGAUCUGUGCAUUUCCUGUAGGUACAUUCUCUUUGUAAAGGAUGUCUUAGAAUGGUCCUUAAUAAGGAGGCUGAAAAAAUUCAUCAAGCUAUUGUCAACCUCAGUGUACUUCUGCUACUCAGAAUGCAGAUUAUAUAAACUCCCUUGCUUAAUUUUUUCUUUUAUCUCUUCUACUUGUCUAGGUCUACCUUUUCUUUUGUUCGUUGAUUGUUGUGCAUUUCAUGACAAUCCAGCAAGGACAACUGUGCGCAUUUUGGAAAGUUUGAUUCACCUAGCUGAAAGUAUGAUACCAUCAAUAUAUGGCCAUGUUCUUAAAGUAUAUACUAUUUUGUGCCGCUAAAAAAUGUUCCAAGGCCGAUUAUAUCACAUGCAAGAUUAAUGUUCAGAAAUGAAGUUUCACAUGCAAGAUUAAUAUUCAGAAAUGAAGUUACCUAUCUUGAUCCAAUUGUAUCCAUUAGCCAUUGUGGACAGCAUUUGAAAUGCUCUUCACGCCAUUUUUGGUGAAAAUGUUGAUCAUGAAAUCCUUGUCUGUUCCUAGUCCUAUUGUCAUUCAUCCAUGCACAAACUCAAUCGUUGUACUUAUUUUUAUGCAUAUGUCAGCUCGCUUUAACUACAAGCGUGUGUCCAUGUUUUGUGUUGGCUUUCCUAGAUUUGUGACUUAGCAGAACUUUCGUUACCCACAAAAAGAACUAACCAGCGGUAAGAUCGAGAAAGUUAAUAGCUUUUCUAUAUUUGAUGAGUUUUGCAUCUAAGUUGGGUAAUUCUGUAAAACAUAGUUGUGAAUGAGCUUUCAAGACAACGAUAAUCAUUUGCCAGUUGUAUUUGUUGAUUCAAGAUUAGAGUCACUUAUGCUACCCACUUUUAGUUCAAGAUGAUUUGAAGACACAAUUUUCGGUGGAAGGACCCCCGUAGAACUAUGUUAUUUUUUUGCUUAUAUAUUUGAUUUAUUUUGUCAAAUGUUGGUUCUAUUCUGGAACUUUUCAUCGCAACAUGGAUGUAAUAUUUAAUCGGCAUCAGUUUUAUUAGAAGCUCCAGUUAUUUUCAUGCAAAAUAUUGGAGCACUUGUAGACAUAACAAUGGACUACCACAGCAACGGUAUUGAGUGACAAGCUGCCCUAGACAUUGAGAAUGGUAAGACCUCUUUGACAGAACGGCUAGUCUGUGGCCAACCUCUCAUUAGUUUACCGCCAUGGGUCACCCAACAGAGCCAGUCCAUGUUUUCCUUGGAAGGGGGAGCAUGAAAAGAGGGAUCACCUGAGUGUCUUUCAGUAGUAUUCAGAAAGCUUUCGCGAGAUGCACAGGAUGGUAGGCACGUGAAAAUAGGACCCUCCACUGAUCUCUAUCCUCUUCCUUUUUUCUUUCCUAUUGUGUACUCCGGGGACCGAACUUGCGGAGAUGUCAAAUUGAUAAGAUUAUGGACGCUUAACUGCUUAUUAAGGUUUGGGUUAGUAUAACUGCUGCAUGUCUAGUAACUAUGCUGUCGUGUAAGAAGAGGGUUGCUAAAGCUGGUAAAGGGGCUGCUUCAUUAUUUUGACAAUGAAAAGCUAUGGCUGGGUAGAGAACUAUUUUAAUGAGAAUCGUCGAGCCCAUUUCUUGGUCUUUAACCUGCUUGUGGGCACCGUAACAAUUCCUCUCUUGCUUCUGGGAAGAAAAGACUAUGAAAAUGAUGAAAUAGAUUAGUUAAACAUAUCCCAAAACUGAAUAACGUAACGGAAUCUUUACGGCCCAAUAUUGGGCUUGAUGGCCCAACCACGAGCCCGUUGGGCCACGAAAGGAGAUGAACGUUAGGCCUAACUAGGGUGGACGGAAGAAAUGUAAUUGGCCUAAUUCUGGGCCCUUAAAGCAUAAUGCAUUGGUCUCAAACUGGUCCAGACUUGGUUUAAGAGCCCCUCUAGUGGGCCCACUAAUGGGCCUCGUCUGCCCAUUGAAGGCCCAAUACUGAUCUCAUGUGUCAAAGCCCAUUCGGACCCGGCCCGACAAUAGGUGGACUGCGGAUAAAGCUGGCCCAUUGAGGGCCCAAUGGCCCAUUCAGUCUCGGCCCAGUACUCAUGCAAAGUGCACGCCGGCCCAAAAAGAGGCCUUGGGUAUGCCCACUGGCCUGUUAAUAUAGGCCGAACACAUUGGCCCAAUGGGCCUAGAAUAAUUAACUGCUUGAAGCCCAUUGGGGCUUGGCCCAAUAAGCGUACAAUGGGCCUACACGAAUCCCAUUGGGCUCGGCAUGUUGAAAUAAUUGGGCCUGACUGUGGGUCUAAGUCCCAAUGUGUGAUGGGCCUCACCUGGGCCCAUUAAACUCGGCCCAAUAAAAUUAUAAUAGCUUAUUGGGCCCAGCCCGUAAAAGUAAUUGGCCUCAUUAUGCCAUUUCUUUGGGGCACAAGGCCCAGUAUGUUGGACCUAAUUUGGGCCCGACUACUGACCUCUUGGAGCUCAAUAGGCCUAAUAUUCACUUAAUCUUUAAAGACCCUAACCAGCUCAAACCUAAUAUGGGCCCGAUAGAACCUCAAUUCACACCCAAUAUUUUAGCCAGUGGUAUGGGACCCAACUGCGGGCCCCGGCUGUUGGUCCUAUAGGCCAAUAGAUUGAGCCUCGCCAUAGGCCCUCUUUUGAGCACGGCCGUCGGCCAGGGCACCUUAGGCCUCACCCGAGCCAACUUCCAGAAUAUCGAGAAAUCCAAUGAAAAAGUAAAUAACGGGCCAGAAACAUCUCGAGUCAAUAAGCUCAAAUUACGAGUAUGAUCCAGAAAAGAGUCCAAUAUUAAGAAAUACAAUAAAAAGUUGCUUCAACCACAUAUGCAGCAAUUCCAUAAUGCCCCGUGCUUGAAGCCGAAUGAGCGCUGUUUGACCUCCGAGACAUGCUGGGGCCUUGGAUUAUCAACAGCUCCUGGAGCUGCUCCAAGUCCAACGAAUUCAAUCAGUCUCCUCCCUGUAAAAGGACAAAUUAUUAGAGAGAGUUUUCAAUCUGGAGAGAGAAAACUGAAGGCAUCACCAUCAAUUCAUCCAGCAAUUAUCCUACUUUUAAUUUGAACAGUCAAGACUACUAAAAAAGCUUGUAUUUCUAGUAUUUUAUAAGCUUAAGGCAAUUUCGACAAAGCAUGUUCCUCAAAGUCAGCCAUGUAUAUUCAAACUGAUGAACAAACAGAUUAUCGGCAGUGUUGUUGAACAGGACUGACAGUUGUGAAAAGCAGAGACGGUAAAGUGCAACUGGUUAUGGAGUGGAUAUCGCACAAACAGAGAUCGCAUGAUUCACCGAACACAGAUAGCUGUCACCAUUCAGUCAGUCCUGACCAGAACAAGCCCCAUGAUCUGGCUAGCUUCAGGGCAAAAAUAUAACAGGGUUUAAUAUGUGCUGGUGUAUAUAAAUAAUUUCCGAGAUCUUGACGGUCUUAUCUUCCAAAAUUUGAUGCCCAAUGCAUAGCUGUUCUUCUGCAGGCAUCACAAAAGUUGGGGAUUAACACCUGCAGUUAUUAUAGAGCCCCUCGCCCACUCACAACUGAAGCCUGCAGCCAAAUGAAUAACUCCUUGACCUUGGGUAUCCAAUUAUUUGGCCCUCUGCCUGCUUCAUGAAGUUUGCAAACCAGCCACCAUGAGACCUCGUCCUUUAGCAAGUAUUGAAGUGCUGCACCUCAAACAUAUGGGUAAUCGAACAUUGUGAAUUUAGAAGCCUCUUUCAGUCUUCCAAUAUCAAAGUCAGCAGUUGUGUUCGUUUGAACUUGUGACAUUCUUCAACUUGCACUUAUCACAUCCACCAACAAAGGAAUCUAACUGGAUCUAUAUAUAACAAUUUUGGCAGAUGUGAUUAAAGACCCCGCUUCAUAUUCUGGUCCAAUAUUAGAAGCCGUAGAUGGCAUUUUACAACAAUCACAUUCUCUUGCCUCACUGCAUGCUAAUCUAUUGCUGCAGGCAAUGAAAAUGGAACAUUUGCAGGAGUGUGAGCAGGAGUCGCACAUUGCAUUGAUGUAUUAGUUAAAGUUUCAGCAGAAACCUCAAUUUCACCAAACAUGCAACCCCGUUUGGUUCAGCAAAAAUUUUCUUGCUAUCCAUUGGAAAAAGAUCAUCUCCAUAUGAAAAAACAAAGAAAACCAAAAAAUGGAUAUGCAGUUAACUGUAAAGCCAGGUUCCAUACACUACCUCUUUCAGUUCUCUACAGUAAACAACAACAAAGUGCUCAAGCUGCCUGAAGAUAAGCAAAAGAGCAAGUCGCACAAUGUAGUGUAUACUCAAUAAUAACUCAUAUUCCCAUAAUGCGGUGCUAAAAUCUUGAAAGACAACAAACUUCUCGUUGUCAGAUGUGAAGAAUUCCAGACCUUUGCUGCUUCACCUAUUUUGUGACUGGUGAGGUUAAACUAACUGAGAAGAUCAUCAUACAAGCUAAUCAUAAUCAUAACAAUACCAUCUACGUGGAUUCACUUCUAGAACUAUAGUGUUUUAUGUUUUGAAUUUGCCUUUCUAUAAACUUCAAGAAUAUAAAGGUAAGGAUGCCAAGAAGGAAGCUUAAUCUACACACACUUUUAAAUGGAACACAAUAUAUAUGCAUCAAAUUUUUUCAGCUGCACUUUUUUGCAAUGACAUGCCGCGACUAGCUCCACAGUUAAGCAAAAAAUGAUUCUGAUGAGAAGAACUAAUUUAACAAAGGCUUUGCACCAAGAUGAUGAAUGCACGCAUUAUUUAAAUCCAUGGCAACACAAUACCACAAACACGUAUUAGAAUUUUCGUGGAUAUCUAAUCAAUGAACCUUUUUUGGCUCUGACACAUCUCAAAUAGCUACUGAGUGAAGCAUAAAGAUGAUUUUCAUGAAAAGGACAAAAAUAAAUUUAAUCAAAGCAUUGUCACGACAUGAUAGCUUCUAGUCAUUGAAAAUUGCAAAACAGAGGGACCAGCAACACCGGCAAAUAGACAAAAUAACCUUUCCAACAUGAAUGGAGUGUAAAUAUGUUCGGAUGCAAGGUGAUUAUUGUAAGUUUAAAGACAUAAAGCAGUUUGACAUGUCAUGUAGAAAAAUCUGCAUGGAGCACUUCCCUAGGCUAUCUGAUCUUUCCCAGUUAACAAUGAUGACUGCAAACUAUGAGUAUUUUCAAAACUUCCCUAGGCUAUCUGAUCUUAUUAGCAUGUAUCUUAUUAGCUUAAGCUUGCAGCUCUCUAUGUUCCACAAUCUGCUCUCCAAAUGUUAUCGUUGUGUUUUUCUUUCAUGACAUAGUGGUUAUCCAAUGCAGGUAUGUCAAGCCACCAAUUUUUACUCUCUGUGUCGGUAAUGCAUGGGGAGAAGCUGCCUUACUUUUAGCAGCUGGUGCAAGGGGGCAUCUUCAACAAUCAUGAUGAAGCAGGUUGAUGAAGCAGGUUUUUCCUGCACCUUUGAAGUUCCUAAGUUAUUUAUACCUUUUAUUUCGUGGCCUUUUCAGAGUCUACAUUCUGUCAGGGAUCAACUUAGGCAGCCUGCUUGAAUUCUAAUAAUUCUUGUGUAUCUUCUAUCUGUGAAUUGCUAGCCAAUUGCAAGAUUUCAAGGUCAAGCAACAGAUAUCGAUCUUGCCAGGAAAGAAGUGAAGAAUGUCAAGGCGGAGUUGGUAAGAUAAAUCACUUUGUUGGUUUGAGAUAUCUGUGAGAUUUGUCUUCUAUAGGCAUGAGAUUACUAUUCUGGUGGAUGACAUGAUCUAAUCAAUGCACUUUAAUUCAAAAUCAGAGUGAGCUGAUCUCGCAAAAGCGCAGCAAAUCAUGGCCAUUUGCUCUUUGAAGCUUUCAUGUCCAUCAGUUUUAAGUUAAUCAAAGCAAGAGGUCCUUCGGAUUGGAUUCACCCUUUCUACCUUGGGCGAUGUCCUUUAAAGUCAAUACUACUACUACAAAUAAAUUAAAGGAAUGCAUAAUUUGGUUGAACUGGCUUGCUGCUUAAUUGUAGUUGAUUAAUGCUUGCUAACAAGCUCUGCCCUCUAUGUUAGCCCACAACUGAAGCAGAUAGCUUACUCAUUUUAAAUAAUAAGGCCUAUCUAUAACCGGAAAGUGAUGAUCUUUUGCUUUAUUAUGUGGAUAAGUAGAGGUCAUAUUACAUCUGUCUGAGCUUCUUCUACUUAUAGAACAUCAUAGACCACCUACUUCGUGCCGCAUUCUAAAAGUCCAAGUUAGGUCCAAAGCUACUCCACUAAAUUGAAAAUGAUCUGCAAAGCUUCAGAGAAAGUCUUCCAGUGUUUGUUUAAAAAAUUGAAAACUUUACAGAUCAAGAGAAUAUUGUUACUCGUUUCUUUGUCAUCCUGGCUCUUUUUGGUUUGCCUCUUUGCUUCAUCAUGUUAACUGAAAUGUGGUACUAGUAGAGGGUCGGUUCUUUGCAGGGUUCUACGAAUGCGUGUUUAGUGUUUUUCUCAUUAGAUCGUUGUGUUGGAAUGAUGUUCUCAAUAAGUUCCAAUUCCAAUACAGAUAGAAGAGCCUGUUUUAAUUACCAUCUAGAGGGUGGGGGCCUAUCUUGUAGAAACUGGCAACUAUGUACAUAUAAAGGAGUGAAUUGAGCAAACGAAAGAAUUUACUUUUGGGGUCUUGUGAUGCUUCUUCGAGACACUGAAGUGGGAACAACUUCCUGCUGACAAUUUGUGAAGGUUAAACUCUAUACGAAGCAUAUUGGAAAAACACCAGAGGAAAUCGAAGCUGACAUCCGAUGACCUAAAUAUUUUAGUCCUAGUGAAGCGGUUGAGUAUGGUAUCAUAGACAAGGUAUGCCCACUGUGUUGUCUACUUGAUUUUGCUUGAUUUCAUGGUGUGCUUAGUAUGGUUACCUCACAGGUGCUAUACAAUGAGACGAGCAGUGAAGAUCAUGGAGUUGUAUCUGACCUGAAAAAAGCGCAACUUAUAUGAUAACGAUGCUGUAAAAUGAAAUUGCUAUUUAUACAGGGGAUUCAGGUAAAGAAUGAGUAAGAUAUUCUUCAACGUGUAAAUUUUUCUGUCAAAAAUUUUACAUAUACCCACUUUGUAUAUUCAGCAGAUUGCACAACUAAUUUGUUGUUAGAGAGUAUGCUUGUUAUAAUAAGAAUGAAAAGAAAAUGUGCAAUACAAAAUGAAGACAGCAGCUAACGAGAAUUGGGUACGAGCAAAAGCUUCAACUUUGGGAUCAUAUGCUCCUAUUGAACAUUUUCUCUCGAGUCUUCUUCUGUUAUCCAAAUUUUGUCAAUGGGUCGUUCCUCUUAGUUCAGUGUCAAGGAGGUUCUAGCAAGGGAGAAGGAUAUGCUAAUCCUUUUCAUGGACAUCCCACCUUAGUGUUGCCCCAUUUUUGCUCUUUUGCUUUUGCAAAACUCUAGUGACUUGACAUCUGGAAAGAGUGGUGGCACAACCUUCUGGUUCGACGAUGACAUUGCUUUCCCUGAUCUGAUUUUGUUGUCAUGAUUGUUCUUCCUGAAAUUAGAGAGGCUGGGGAAAGGCCUUGCUGGUUGGUAGAUCUUGCAUCUAGGCUGAUGGGACAUUAGCCGGGUGUCCCCUGUUGCAUUUUGAAGUGCUGAGGACCCGCCCAUCUAGGAGUGGUAUCUUUUGGAAUAUUACAGAUAGUCGGCAUAAUGCAUCCAUUGCUUUUCAGUAGAUAUUUGCAUUAGCAAGUAAAUAUAUGAUUGAAAUGAAAUGACUCAAAAGAAUUGGCUUUUUAGCUCAGAGGUCACCUACAAAAUCCGCUGAGCUGUUCGGUUGAAAACAUGCAGGUGACAUUGUCAAUAACGGUUCUGACGCGCAAUUCCCAUCAACAUCAGAAAGCCUAGGUGUCAGCUAUGAAGUGGGAAUGAGACUUCUAAAGCUCACAGUAUUGGAUUUAUUGCUAGAUGCCAUUAUACAUGUAUUUUCACAUCUGUAAGGUCUAUCUCGUGUAGUUGCAUAGGCAGCAUCAUUGUCUCUUUUUUAAUUUGAUUUGUCAACAGUUGAAACAAUAAGUAGGAAGAGCUUGUUAAUGUACUAUUUGAAUAAUGAUGUGGUUUUUUAGUCGGUUGAUGCUUCCGUUCAUGACUAUAUAGGAAUCAAGCCACGUUUCCAAUUAGCAAAUCCGAAUUUACAGGUUGCACGGUGACUCGGUUCCAAUGUAAAAAGUCAGCCUACACUUAGCGUGAUUCUUGGCAUGGUUUUUCCUACCGUAAAUCAUCAACUACUGAAUCUCAGUGUGUUCCACAUUUGUAGCGUGAAUUAAUUUUAUGCCUCCUAUAAUAAACACCGCAUGUCUGACGAAAAUGAAACGGAACAGAUGUUCAAUACUCUCUCUGUCUCUCUGUCUCUCGAUCGAACUUUGUGGAAGGAGGAGAAGCAUCUAAUCUUAUAUAUGCCUGAACAUGGGAGCUGAACACGUAAAUAGUCCUGCAUUUUCUCCGGUUCUGCUAAUGUCACUUUUUCUGUGCCUGGCCUUCGAAAUUUCUCUCUCUCACGCGCGCGCGCACACGACCAGAUUCAACCUAGAGCGGUGUACUCGUAUUUGAAGUGAGGUUGCCACAUGGGCGGCAAGGAUCCGUAGUCACCUACCCCACUCUGUACCUCAAUCGUGUCUCCACAUCAUGCUCCGCUAAAAUUUCUACCUUUUUUCCUUGCAUAUUGCGUCACUCGGAAUGCUGCUCAAAAUAGGGAAAGGUCUUUGAGGUGUCAAAAACCAAUUUGCUUUAUCUAUCCGUAGUGACAAUCAUUCGGGUGCUUUUAAGCCUAAUUUGCCAUUUGUUUUUUACUGAAUUUCGACAGGGGAAAAAGGAGCCGUAGGUUACCUAGUAUUCUAGAGUUCUUAAGUGCGCUGGGACCAAACGAUGACUCAACCAAAUGAUGACUUGUCGGCAAUGUCCAGUUGUUGAUAGUUCAUAGUUUUGCUUUGACUUCAGCAAAUCAAUUCAAUUCAGAUUUAAGUAGCAAGAGAGUGUUGCUCAGCAACUAAGUGGGUUUUUACUGUUGUGAGUGCUUCUAGCUAUUAGGUUUUCAUUAAAUUAUAUCUAGAAAGCUGUUUUGUAGUCUCAUGAUCCUCAUGUCUCAAUAGUGUUACUAUUUGCGAUGAACUCGACUGAAUUUUUUGGAUACUUCCAAUAGCAAUUUGGCGCCUAAUAUACAUUUGUCACUCCAAAGACGAUUGCAAACAACUUACUACUCAAUAUGUAAUAUUACGUGAUCAAAGAAUUAUAAAUGAAUGCCCCAUUUUGAUAAUAGCUUCAUACUUAUAGGGGAAGCGAAAGAGAAGUAUUUCAAGCUAAUGAAAAGAGAUGAAAAUCUUUCCUAAGAUCAAAACCCUCAUGUCUCAAUGGUAUUACUGUUUGCAGUGAACUCAACUGAAUUUCUUGGAUACUUCCAAUAGGAAUUUGGCCCCUGAUAAACAUUUGUCACCAUAAAGACAAUUGUAAACUUACUACUCAAUAUGUAAUAUUACAAGAUCGAAUAAUUAUAAAUGAACGUCGCAUUCUGAGAAUAGCUUCAUACUCACACGGGAAGUGAAUGAAUAUAUAUCAAAAUCUAUCAUGAGAUGAAGAGAUUGCGAAAUGCUAGUACUACGCAUAAGUUUGGGAUUUCUUCGUUUAACUAGAAGGUCAAUUUUCUAUGAAUGUCGAAGCACAAUGUGUUAUGAGUCAUAGCACGCCGGAUUAAUUGCAGAUGCAGUGAGCUGACCAAAUGAGAAAAGAGAAGCAAAAGGUUAUUAAUAUAAUAAGCCUUCCAAUUGUAGUUUAUGUAAUGAUGAAAUAUCUUAGUGAAAGGGUCCACGGAAGGUCCACACGUACUUAUCCAAUGUAUUCUAAUUCUACAAGCUCAAGUCUCCCUUGGGUUCUGUACUAUCUGCUCACAAGUGGAGGGAAAAAUAGUGAGUGGUCCUCAAGAACCUGACCCUCAGGAUCUCAGCUAUAAAUAUGGGAUCUUGGUUAUGAAUGUUUCUCAUCCCAAAACCUUCUUGUCCAUUUCCCUCUCUCUCUCUAGUCGAGUCCUCUAGGCUUGAGUUUACUUGUCUUGCAUUAGGAUCAGUACAUUGAGUGAGACAUGAAAUCUGCAAUGAGCUAUAGUUGUCUUCUCUGUAUCCUGGUGCUCUUGCCAGCACUUUGUCACUCUGAAAAUUCAUUUACGCCCUCGAGAGCCACUUACUAUGGCAGCCCUGACUGCUAUGGGACUCCAAGUAUGUGCACGCUCCGUCUCCUGUGAUAGAAACCAAGCUUGCAUCAGCCACCGCACCACACAAGCGCCGCACAUAAAUUAUGUUCACACAUUAGUGUGAAGCUAGUAGAGCACUAGUCGCUAAAAUAGUAUCGUGUCAUGAAAAGUACACAAAACAACAUUUCUUGUCUUUAAAGUAACUUUUUUAACUUCGUUUAUGGUCAUGUGGCAUGCUCUGUUACAUCAUGAAUAACUUUUCGUGGGUAUGCGCUCUUUCCCUUGAUACUCAGCAGAACGCAAUAUAACAUGAGAAGAUCUGUGUAGUGGCAUGUCUCGCUCGGUACUUGAAGGCUUGGUUGUUCACAUGCACUCUUUGAACCACUCCAUUUCAUUAUGCCCAAACCAAACAUUUGAAACAGAACAAUUUUUGCUAGAGAAGAUCUAAUGAGUGCAAUGUUUAUGGCAGCUGGAGCUUGUGGGUACGGCGAGUAUGGCAGGACCGUCUACGAUGGCUAUGUGACUGGAGUUUCGAGGCUAUACAGAAAUGGAUCUGGAUGUGGUGCUUGCUAUCAGGUUUAACUUCAUAUAGACUACACAUAAAUAGAUGAUGACUCUUUUUGACUUUUUCAUCAGUCUAAUUUUACUUUUUUUUAAGUAUAGGUGAGGUGCACGAAACCGCAGUGCACGGGCGAAGGAGCGUACGUGGCGGUGACGGACUAUGGAGAGGGAGACAGGACGGACUUCAUCCUGAGCACCAGAGCCUAUGCGAAGAUGGCAAAACCGGACGACUACCAAACCGAGCAGCUGUUCGCCUACGGCGUGGUUGAGGUCGAAUUCAGAAGGGUUCCGUGUCGAUACCCCGGCCAAAACCUCCUUGUCAGCGUCAGUGAACACAGCAGAAACCCUUCUUACUUAGCUGUCAUCCUUUUAUACGUCGCCGGCAAAGAUGACGUCAUAGCUGCGGAGUAUU
rnacentral:lncRNA from 1 species